rnacentral:rRNA from 1 species
AGAACGAACGCUGGCGGCAUGCCUAAUACAUGCAAGUCGAACGAACACUUCGGUGUUAGUGGCGCACGGGUGCGUAACGCGUGGGAAUCUGCCCUUGGGUUCGGAAUAACAGUUGGAAACGACUGCUAAUACCGGAUGAUAUCGAAAGAUCAAAGAUUUAUCGCCCAGGGAUGAGCCCGCGUAGGAUUAGCUAGUUGGUGAGGUAAAGGCUCACCAAGGCGACGAUCCUUAGCUGGUCUGAGAGGAUGAUCAGCCACACUGGGACUGAGACACGGCCCAGACUCCUACGGGAGGCAGCAGUAGGGAAUAUUGGACAAUGGGCGCAAGCCUGAUCCAGCAAUGCCGCGUGAGUGAUGAAGGCCUUAGGGUUGUAAAGCCCUUUUAACCGAGAUGAAUUAAUGACUAGUAUACGGAGAAUAACGCCCCGGACUAACCGUCCGCGACCCAGCCAAGCCGC